rnacentral:tRNA from 1 species
GGCCCGUUGGUCAAGCGGUUAAGACACCGCCCUUCCACGGCGGUAACACGGGUUCGAAUCCCGUACGGGUCA